GAUGAACGCUGGCGGCGUGCCUAAUACAUGCAAGUCGAGCGAACAGACGAGGAGCUUGCUCCUCUGACGUUAGCGGCGGACGGGUGAGUAACACGUGGAUAACCUACCUAUAAGACUGGGAUAACUUCGGGAAACCGGAGCUAAUACCGGAUAAUAUAUUGAACCGCAUGGUGCAAUAGUGAAAGACGGUUUUGCUGUCACUUAUAGAUGGAUCCGCGCCGCAUUAGCUAGUUGGUAAGGUAACGGCUUACCAAGGCAACGAUGCGUAGCCGACCUGAGAGGGUGAUCGGCCACACUGGAACUGAGACGCGGUCCAGACUCCUACGGGAGGCAGCAGUAGGGAAUCUUCCGCAAAGGGCGAAAGCUUGACGGAGCAACGCCGCGUGAGUGAUGAAGGUCUUCGGAUCGUAGAACUCUGUUAUUAGGGAAGAACAAAUGUGUAAGUAACUAUGCACGUCUUGACGGUACCUAAUCAGAAAGCCACGGCUAACUACGUG
rnacentral:rRNA from 1 species